rnacentral:rRNA from 1 species
GACGAACGCUGGCGGCGUGCUUAACACAUGCAAGUCGAACGGAAAGGCCUGCUUUCCCUUGUGGAUUGCGGGUACUCGAGUGGCGAACGGGUGAGUAACACGUGAGUGAUCUGCCCCCAACUUGGGUAUAAGCCUGGGAAACUGGGUCUAAUUCCCGAUAGGACUGCAGGGUGGUGCCUGUGGUGGCAAACGAUUUUCUAGUGGUUGGGGAUGAGCUCGCGGCCUAUCAGCUUGUUGGUGGGGUAAUGGCCUACCAAGGCGGCGACGGGUAGCCGGCCUGGGAGGGUGGACGGCCACAUUGGGACUGGGAUACGGCCCAGAGUCCUACGGGAGGCAGCAGUGGGGAAUAAUGCACAAUGGGCGGAAGCCUGAUGCAGCGACGCCGCGUGGAGGAUGACGGCCUUCGGGUUGUAAACUCCUUUCGACCGCGAGGAAGGCACCUGGUUGGAAGGGUGGUGACGGUAGUGGUAGAAGAAGCACCGGCUAACUACGU